GGCUCACUGUAGAUGCCACUGGUGCUCAAGGGGUGAAGUAUAAAAAACCAAAACCCACAAAUUCCAAGCCUUUCAAGCUAAGGACUGAUGAGUGAGGAAUUCUUAAGGAAGCAAAAUUGGAGAGGAAAAUGCAAGCACUAGUUCCUCAUAAAGAAAUUGCAGCAGCCACAAUGCUCCCAAGCAGAAGUUUACACAAAAAAGCAUAGGAAUGAAAUCCAAAGAAAUGACAAGUGCCUCGAACAAAGAAAGUGCAAUCACGAUACAAAUGAAAGCCGUGGAAAUGAAUUACAGAAAAAUUAUAAAAAGGAUGAACCC